GAUGAACGCUGGCGGCGUGCCUAAUACAUGCAAGUCGAGCGAACAGACGAGGAGCUUGCUCCUCUGACGUUAGUGGCGGACGGGUGAGUAACACGUGGAUAACCUACCUAUAAGACUGGGAUAACUUCGGGAAACCGGAGCUAAUACCGGAUAACAUGUUGAACCGCAUGGUUCAACAGUGAAAGACGGUCUUGCUGUCACUUCUAGAUGGAUCCGCGCCGCAUUAGCUAGUUGGUAAGGUAACGGCUUACCAAGGCAACGAUGCGUAGCCGACCUGAGAGGGUGAUCGGCCACACUGGAACUGAGACACGGUCCAGACUCCUACGGGAGGCAGCAGUAGGGAAUCUUCCGCAAUGGGCGAAAGCCUGACGGAGCAACGCCGCGUGAGUGAAGAAGGUCUUCGGAUCGUAAAACUCUGUUAUUAGGGAAGAACAAAUGUGUAAGUAACUAUGCACGUCUUGACGGUACCUAAUCAGAAAGCCACGGCUAACUACGUG
rnacentral:rRNA from 1 species